UACCAUGGUGGAACAUGUUGUCGUAGACGCAGCAGGAUUUUGAAGAAAGCACUUCUUCAGGAAAUCGGGAAGAAUAUCUACACGCUGAAGGAUGUAGUAGAGGAAAUUAGAGACAAGCCAACCCGGAGGAGCCUGUCGUUCCUACCAUAUCAACUCAACUUCAGAGAGCCGUACCCAGAGGACAUCAGAUUAGUGACUGAGUUCUCCAAGAAG